rnacentral:rRNA from 1 species
AGUUUCUUGAAAUUUUUUUUAGAAAUAUUUUCUGCUCAAUGAUUUUAAAUGGCUGCGGUAAUUUGACUGUGCGAAGGUAGCAUAAUCAUUUGUCUUUUAAUUAAAGACUGGAAUGAAUGGAAGUACACAAAACUUUCUUUCUUCUAUUUUUUUUUAGAAUUUGUUUUUUGCGUGAAGAAACGUGAAUAUAGUAGGGGGACAAGAAGACCCUUUUGAGCUUUAUUUUAAUUUAGUUUUUAAAAUUAGAUAAAAAAUUUGGUUGGGGCGAUCAAGGAAGAAAGAAUCUUUUUUGUAAUUUAUAUUUUAGAUCUUUAGUUUUUAAUUAAUAGAUUAAGUUACCAAAGGGAUAACAGCGUAAUUUUUUUAGUGAGUUCUUAUUUAAAAAAAAGAUUGCGACCUCGAUGUUGACUUUUAAUUUUCCUUUUAGGUGUAGGAGCUUUUAAAGGAGGUCUGUUCGACCUUUAAAUUUAA